rnacentral:tRNA from 1 species
AUAGAUAUAGUAUAAGAUUUAAUACAUCUCGUUUACACCGAGAAAAUAUUUAAGACAUAAAUUAUCUUUAAGUGUA